AUUGAACGCUGGCGGCAGGCCUAACACAUGCAAGUCGAGCGGUAACGCAGGGAGCUUGCUCCUGGGUGACGAGCGGCGGACGGGUGAGUAAUGUCUGGGAAACUGCCUGAUGGAGGGGGAUAACUACUGGAAACGGUAGCUAAUACCGCAUAACGUCGCAAGACCAAAGAGGGGGACCUUCGGGCCUCUUGCCAUCAGAUGUGCCCAGAUGGGAUUAGCUAGUAGGUGGGGUAACGGCUCACCUAGGCGACGAUCCCUAGCUGGUCUGAGAGGAUGACCAGCCACACUGGAACUGAGACACGGUCCAGACUCCUACGGGAGGCAGCAGUGGGGAAUAUUGCACAAUGGGCGCAAGCCUGAUGCAGCCAUGCCGCGUGUAUGAAGAAGGCCUUCGGGUUGUAAAGUACUUUCAGCGGGGAGGAAGGCGAUAAGGUUAAUAACCUUGUCGAUUGACGUUACCCGCAGAAGAAGCACCGGCUAACUCCGUGCCAGCAGCCGCCGCUG
rnacentral:rRNA from 1 species